rnacentral:rRNA from 1 species
AUUGAACGCUGGCGGCAGGCCUAACACAUGCAAGUCGAGCGGAGCGGCGGACGGGUGGGUAAUGCCUAGGAAUCUGCCUGGUAGUGGGGGCUCACGUCCGGAGACGGGCGCUAAUACCGCAUACUCUCAGCUGGGCCUAGGUCGGAGUAGCUAGUUGGUGGGGUAAAGGCCUAACAAGGCGACGAUCCGUAACUGGUCUGAGAGAAUGAUCAGUCACACUGGAACUGAGACACGGUCCAGACUCCGACGAGAGGCAGCAGUGGGGAAUAUUGGACAAUUGACGAAAGCCGGAUCCAGCCAUGCCGCGUGUGUGAAGACGGUCUUCGGAUUGUAAAGCACUUUAAGUUGGGAGGCGUUACCAACAGAAUAAGCACCGGCUAACUUCGUGCCAGCCGACGCGGUAAUAC